UAAACAAAAAGACAUUUCCGUCUGUUUGUAAAGGAUACUAUUUCACCAGGGAACACCAUCUCAGAAUUUAACAGAUGCUUUUACCCCGCCAAUAAGGAUGUAAGAAAUCACAUUUACAGGGCACCGAGAUUUUGCCAGGUAGUUUAGAACUGUGUGCAUUGGUUUUGGAAGAAUUUGGGCUGUUUAGGCUAAAAUCCAUUAUGAUUGGACAGAAUAUGAACACACACAUCCAAUACUUCAAAGAUAUUAUGUUUGUGGAGGCAGAGAUUUUGAUUGCAUCCACUGUUUAGAAUACAUCCUUAAGGGAAGCAGACUGCCGCCUUUACCCAAUGAUAUAAUGAUUAAUCAUAACUAUAUCUGUUUUGUACCAAAUAGAAAGAGCAUUGAUUCAGGUCAUUUUCAAAUCCACUGGCAUACAUUGUACUAUACAUGCAACCUUUUCAAACUUUACAUUUAAGAUUUUAUAAAGGAAAUAUCUUAAUGUUUCACAUGUUUACCUUUCACUGUGCUAUGUAAUUCAUUAUACCUGCCAUUAUGCUAGUCUUCCUGAACAUAAUUUGUUUUCUGCAAUUUCAUUGGCCAAGGGGCUUAAUCCUGGGUUAUCAGAUUGAGCAUUUAUAUUUAGUAUCCCAUUGAUUUUGUCAGCCCUAUAUAAGGAGCUGACUCAGAUUUACUCACUCUGCUAGGUUAAAGAACUCUAAGGUUUGUACUUUUCACAUGAAUUUCGUGUUCGCCUCUUAUCUUUUACAUAGAGUAGGAAAUGAACAAAACAUUGAGUUGGGGAACUAUUUAGAUUUUACAUUAUAAUAUGUAAAUACCUUAGCAGAGUCAAUUUACUUGGUUCAGGGUAGUAUGAGAUAUUACUUUUUCAGAGUUUAAGUGUUUAGGCUAUCUCAAUGUUUCUAUAGUUAGACUUGUCCUAUGUUACUUUUAGAUGUAUGGAAGCCUUUUAGUGUUAUAACACUAUAUUUAUGCCCCCAUUCAAAGAAGAGGGGCAUAUUGGUUUGCACCUGUUGGUCGGUCGGUAGACCACAUGUUGUCCGCUUAAUAUCUUAAGAACCAUUCACUUGAUCGUAAUAUAUUUCAUAUGUGGGUUGGUUAUGAAAAGAAGAGGACCCCAAUUGUUUUUCAGGUCGAAAUGUCAAGGGUCAAUCUACUCUGGACAUAGGAAGACACUGCCUGCUCAAUAUCUUGAGAACCCUUUGCUUGACAGACAUCAAACUUGGUACACUGGUACAUCUCAAGGAGUAGAUUUGAGGUCACAUGGUCAAAAGUCAAGGGGUAAACUGGACAUAGUAAUAUAUUGUCUCUUAUGUUUUAAAAAUUAUUUGCUUGAUUGACACCAAACCUGGUACAGCAUAAGGAGUAGAUGACCCCUAUUGAUUUUUAGGUCACUUGGUCAAUCCACUCCUGACAUAGGAAGAUAUUGUUUGCUCAAUAUUUCGAAUUGAUGAUACUACUAUCAAUCAAAUUAUGCAUGUGUAUAACCCUUUUCAAUUUUGCACCAUGGGGGCUUAUAUGUUUUACAAACACCUCAUGUUUUAUAGUUUGUGAAAGCUUGUUAGGGUCAUAACUUUAGAUUUUCUUAUUAUGGUACUUGCCCGUCAGAGACUGGACAUAUUAUGGUAUGGUGUUGUCUGUCCGGACCUUGUAAGAUGGGAUACAGACUGAACCGUAAGCUCCAGAAUCUUACAACUUGGUACAUUUGAUCACCAUAAAAGGAAGAUGCUUAUUGUUUUUUAAGGUCAAGGUUGUAGGUUCACUUAAUAGGUAAACCUUGUUCGAGAAAAUUACAGAUUCUUGAACUGAGUAUUUUGAGGAAACAUUACAUAGAAAGUACAUGAUUUGUCAAAUUUCUCCCAAUAUUCAACUGAGAACCUUAUUCUGCAGAGUAUUUGUAUGGGUAUGAAAAAUGUGUAUGUGGCUAUGAUUUUGAUUUUUGUUUAAUUUUUUGUUGUUGAAAAUUACAGGUUUAACCGAGUCAGUUUUUGAGGAAAUAUACAUGUAUUAAAUAAAUGACGGUUUGACCUUUUAACUCCUCUCACAGUUUUGAAGCUAGGGUCUUUGUAAAUAACUUCUUUGGUGUUUUAGAAUAUUUACAGAUUGUUGAUCAUGGUCAAUUUUUGGGAAAUAUUUUCCGCAGAGCUCUAGUUGUCUAUCUACCGGCCUCCUGUCACUUUUAAGUUUAGGAGCUUUUAUUCAUGGAAAGAAAGUAUGUGACAGCCUGAUGAUUGCUGAUACUAUUUAAAGCCUUUUUAUACGCCUGUCUUAAGACGGGACGUAUUAUGGUAUGGCGUUCAUGUCCGCCCGUCUGUUAGCUUUUUCGUGUCCGACCCGUAACUUAAAUACUACAAGGCCUAGAAUCAAACUUUGUCUGUAGAUACAUCUUGGGUAGAAGGUGUGUCGCACAUUAAAACCAGGUCACUGUGACUUUUCAUUAAGAAUAUAUGGCAAAAACUUGUCCGACUCAUAACUUGAAAACUAUUAGACCUAGAAUCACCAAAAUUGGUCAACUAAUGCAUCUUAGGUAGAAGGUGUGUCGCAUCCUACUUUAAGGUCACUGACAUUUAAUUAAGGUGAUAUAAAAAAAAUGUUUUAAUGGGUACAAUCUAUACUUUUAACAAUAUGUGACGGGCGUAUCAUGUGCCGUGGCGGUGCACUUUAUUCUAGAAAUGGCAUCAGAAAAACACCCUAUGUAACCUUUUCUGCUUGUACUCAUUUAUUUUUAUUGGAAAACUUAUUACUUGUUAUCAGCUACUCUAAAACAAUAUUGACUUGUGCUAUAAUAAAUUUGUAAAC